UACGUAGGGUGCGAGCGUUGUCCGGAAUUAUUGGGCGUAAAGGGCUCGUAGGCGGUUUGUCGCGUCGGGAGUGAAAACCUUGGGCUUAACUCAGGGCUUGCUUUCGAUACGGGCAGACUAGAGGUAUGCAGGGGAGAACGGAAUUCCUGGUGUAGCGGUGAAAUGCGCAGAUAUCAGGAGGAACACCGGUGGCGAAGGCGGUUCUCUGGGCAUGACCUGACGCUGAGGAGCGAAAGCUAGGGGAGCAAACGGG
rnacentral:rRNA from 1 species